ACCCGGGUGGCUCAGUCGGUUAAGCGUCUGACUUCAGCUCAGGUCUUGAUCUCAUGGUCUGUGGGUUCGAGCCCCGCGUCGGGCU
rfam:Felis catus isolate Cinnamon breed Abyssinian chromosome A2, whole genome shotgun sequence.